ACAAGGCUGUCACUUGGUGUAUGUGUGACGGGUCAAAAUAUUUUGUCGAAAAUACUGAAAACAGAACAUAUUUCUACAAAUAUAUUGAGAAAAUGACUGAAAAAUCUCUAAAAGAGAAGACUAUAGCGACACAGUACGCGGAGCUGAAUAAAUUCGCCCAAAAUGAAGACUAUGAGCGGGCUCUAAAGGCUGCUAACAAAAUUUUGGGGGUUGCUCCACAUGAAUUCCUCGCCUUACAUUGCAAAGUGGUUUGCCUUGUUCAGUUAUCAAAGUUUGAAGAGGCUAUUUCCUUGGUAAAUAAAAAUCCGGAGCACUUGCAGAAACUCAUUUUUGAGAAAGCUUAUUGCUAUUAUCGCCUUAAUAAGCAUCAGGAGGCUUUGGCAAUCAUUGACAAUGGUGCAGGAGAGCUUGACCUUCGUGUCAAAGAGCUAAAAGCUCAGAUUUUAUACCGCAUUGAAAACUAUGAACAGGCAAACCUGGUAUAUCAAGACUUAAUUAAAAAUACUGAUGAUGAUUAUGAAGAAGAGAGACUCACUAACUUGUAUGCCACAUUGGUUUAUUUGGAUCAAAUGCCUGACAUGGAAUUGAAGGAGGAUGCCUAUGAAAUAUGCUACAAUAAUGCUUGCUUGCUAGUUCAGCAAGGAAACUAUAUUGAAGCUGAAAAAAGACUGAAGCAAUGUGAAAAACUGUGUCGUGAAAAGUUUGAGGCUGAUGAUGAGUUGACUGAUGAAGAAAUUGAGUUGGAGCUGGCUCUAAUCAACAUCCAAUUGGCAUAUGUCUACCAUAAACAAGGUCGUAUCAAGGAAGCACAAACCAUAUACACCACAGUACUCAAACUAAAAGACCUUAAUGACAUUGCUUUACAAGCAGUCGCUAGCAACAACAUUGCAUGUAUCAACAAAGAUCAAAAUCUCUUUGAUUCCAAAAAGAAAAUGAAGGUGGCUCUAAAUGAAUCUUUGAUCCAUAAGUUACCAUCCACCCAACGUAAAUACAUUGCUUUAAACAAUGCCAUCUUGUGUUACUACAUGAACCAUCCAGAUCAGUGUGAGAAAGCAUGCCAAGCAGUUCAAUCAACUUGGCCAGAAUUACACUUGACAGUCAGUGUCUUGAGAGCUUUGAAUUUGGUUAAAGCUGAUAAAGUCAAUGAAGCAAUUUCUUUGCUGAAAAAAGAAGAGUCAAAUGCAGAAAGCAAAUUGUAUGUUGAUCUUUGUAUUGCUCAGUUUUAUUUGUUGAAAGGCGAUAAGCAUGAGGCUUGUAAAGUUUUGGAGAAUCUUGGGGAAGACACCUACAAGCCUGGUAUAGUUGGAGCCCUUACUAGCUUAUAUCAAGGGCUUGGUGAUGAAGCUACUGCCCUUAAGGUCUUUGAAAAAACUGUUCAGUUUUAUAAGAAAAAGAAGAUGUCAUCAGAUCUCUCUAACUUCUGGAGGCAAGCUGCCGAGUUCCAUAUUAAAAAUGGACACCCUGAAGUUGCAGCCAACAGCCUUGAAGAGCUACUGGCAGUAAACAAAGAUGAUAAGAAGAUUUUGGCCCAGUUAGUCAUUGCAUGCUCUCAGUUUGACAAGGCCAGAGCUCUUAAAUUAAGCAAGAGUUUGCCUACUAUUGAGGAGUUAUCCAAAGGGGUUGAUCUUGAGAAUAUUGAAAUAUUGGCUAUGGUUAAUUUGAAGAAAAGUCCAGGAGGUAAAGGAGAUUCUUUACCAGGGACGCCAAAGCCUGAAACUGAUGAACGCAAAAAGAGAAAUAAUAAAAAACGCAAAGGAAAAUUGCCUAAAAACUAUGAUGCCAGUGUGCAACCUGAUCCAGAAAGAUGGCUUCCUAAGUAUGAGAGGACUGGAUAUAAGAAGAAGAAAGAUAGGAGGACUAAGGAUGUCCAAAUUAAAGGGUCACAAGGAACCUCUUAUGGGCAAAGUGAACAGUUAAAUACAUAUACUUCUAAAAGACCCUUGGAAGGUUCUGGAGAAACUAACCCAAAAUCCCAUGCCUGAUCCUUUCCCGAAUCUUUGUUGCAUUGUGCUGUCAAAAUUACCAAUAUUUCCUGUUUAAAUUGGAGCACAAUCAUUUUUGUUACGUUAUCAUAACACAUGGUUGCACACUAAUGAUUUUUCUUCUAAAAAAAUCGAUGAAGGUUCUGAGAGUUCAAACUCAGUAGAGCCUUCUCCAAGAGUUUCCCAUCCCGGCAAGCCUCAACAUCAGAAGAAAGGAAACCAGAAGAAGAAGAAUAAGCGCCGUUAGUGUUGCUGCUAUUUUUUUUAUAUUGUGUUUAAAAUGUUGUAAAUUUUUUUAAUUUGUUUUUUAAAUUACAUUGAUGUUCAUUGGCAGAA